UGGAGGUGAUCGACACCACCAACCCAGAUAGAAAGCCUGCUAUCUUGUGAGCAUAUCCCAAGAAGAAUCGGAAUCAUCGGAGGUGUGGUGAAGGCACAGUGACGCCGUGAAGUUGGUUCGUCAACAGUGAAUUCAACAACUUCAACCGGCGGUUUGAGCCACUUACACUUCGAAUUGGACCUUGAGGUACUGUUGGAGUUUGAGUUGCUCGUUGAAGUUUGGGAUUGAGGAUUCGUUAAGUUGUUGAAGAAGCAGCUUGGACGAGAGGGGAAAAUCCUGCAGGUGGUAGAGACCGUGAGCAGGAGAUUUAAGGUGAGGAGCAGGAGGCUCGU